rnacentral:tRNA from 1 species
GGAGACGUGUCGGAGUGGUCUAACGUGCCUCUUUGCUAAAGAGGUGAGCCUUUAAACGGGCUCCGGAGGUUCGAAUCCUCCCGUCUCCG